rnacentral:lncRNA from 1 species
UUUCGUCCAAGUUGUUACUCUUCUAGUGUUCGUAGGCAACCUCUCCGGCCAUAAGUUAUUAGCCGUCAACAUCUUCACAUUAACAAGGUACUAAUAUUUAGCAAACGUGAUCCCUACGGUAGCUUGUUACUCAAAAUAAUUAUUGUCAAAGAACAUCAUUUUUUUAAUUUUUUUCAGGAUACUUUCACAUAUUUAGGAUGUACAUAAUAUGACUAUGGAGGAUAAUUUAGUCAAAAGACAUAAGCUAGUGAUAAUUUUUUUCUUAAAAUCACCGAUUACAACACAGACGCGCACACAAACACACAUGCACCACCAACGCACACACUCAUAUUACGCCUGCUGCAGACUAGAAUCGUGGAGUCUCUAGAUUGAUGAAGUCACCUUAUGCCUCGUUAUCGACAUGCACGUCAUCU